UGUCCUACGGGAGGCAGCAGUGGGGAAUUGUUCGCAAUGGGCGCAAGCCUGACGACGCAACGCCGCGUGGAGGAUGAAGGUCUUCGGAUUGUAAACUCCUGUUGAUCGGGACGAAAAGCUUCGACCUAACACGUCGGAGACUGACGGUACCGGUUGAGGAAGCCACGGCUAACUCUGUGCCAGCAGCCGCGGUAAUACAGAGGUGGCAAGCGUUGUUCGGAAUUACUGGGCGUAAAGGGCGCGUAGGCGGCCUUCUAAGUCGGACGUGAAAGCCCCAGGCUUAACCUGGGAACUGCGUCCGAUACUGGAAGGCUUGGAUUCGGGAGAGGGAUGUGGAAUUCCAGGUGUAGCGGUGAAAUGCGUAGAUAUCUGGAGGAACACCGGUGGCGAAGGCGGCAUCCUGGACCGACAUCGACGCUGAGGCGCGAAAGCUAGGGGAGCAAACGGGAUUAGAUACCCCGGUAGUCA
rnacentral:rRNA from 1 species